AUUGAACGCUGGCGGCAUGCCUUACACAUGCAAGUCGAACGGCAGCGGGGACUUCGGUCCGCCGGCGAGUGGCGAACGGGUGAGUAAUGUAUCGGAACGUACCUUUCAGUGGGGGAUAACGUAGCGAAAGUUACGCUAAUACCGCAUAUUCUGUGAGCAGGAAAGCAGGGGAUCGCAAGACCUUGCGCUGAUUGAGCGGCCGAUAUCAGAUUAGCUAGUUGGUGAGGUAAAGGCUCACCAAGGCGACGAUCUGUAGCGGGUCUGAGAGGAUGAUCCGCCAAACUGGAACUGAGACACGGUCCAGACUCCUACGGGAGGCAGCAGUGGGGAAUUUUGGACAAUGGGGGCAACCCUGAUCCAGCCAUGCCGCGUGAGUGAAGAAGGCCUUCGGGUUGUAAAGCUCUUUCGGCCGGGAAGAAAUCGCAUGGGUUAAUACCCUGUGCGGAUGACGGUACCGGCAUAAGAAGCACCGGCCAACUACGUGCCAGCAGCCGCCGUAACAC
rnacentral:rRNA from 1 species